UACUGUAUUCAUGGAAGGUAAGAUUUGGAUAUUUGUGGUAAUUCUAUAAUUAAUACAUACGCAACAGCGGCAUAUUAAAUGAAAGCAAGAAGUGUAAACUUCUACUAAAGGAUUGUUUUUAUGCAUGGAUCACAUACAUGUAAGUGAGAGUCCUUAAAAGUUUCUGACCUAUCAGGUUUCGACGGUUAGGUAUUGGCUAACCGUGCCGUUUACGGGUAACGGGGGAUUAGGGUUUGAUUCCGGAGAAGGAGCAUGAGAGACGGCUACUACG
rnacentral:rRNA from 1 species